rnacentral:lncRNA from 1 species
CUCUUCGACAACGCCAAAGUCGAAAAACGUGACGUCCUCGACGGUACUUUCAUGCCUUCCACUGAUUUCUUCGGUGGUUACCGUACCUGUGCUUUUCAAGAUACAGCUGAACCUUCCCAUAGCCUCCUCAAACGCUUCAUCUUCCACAUCCUUUCAUCAAAACACGACACUUUCAUUCCACUCUUUCAAACUAACCUAACUGAACAUUUCACCGAUCUUGAAAAAGAACUCGCUGGAAAACAUCAAAAAGCUAGCUUCAACACUUCCAUUGGAGGCAUAACCUUCAACUUCCUCUUCAAACUCAUCACUGACAAAAACCCUAGCGAAACUAAAAUUGGUGACUCUGGUCCAACCCUAGUUCAAACAUGGCUUGCAGCUCAGCUAGCUCCUUUAGCUACAGCUGGU